rnacentral:rRNA from 1 species
UACGUAGGGUGCAAGCGUUAAUCGGAAUUACUGGGCGUAAAGCGUGCGCAGGCGGUUUUGUAAGUCUGUCGUGAAAUCCCCGGGCUCAACCUGGGAAUGGCGAUGGAGACUGCAAGGCUAGAAUCUGGCAGAGGGGGGUAGAAUUCCACGUGUAGCAGUGAAAUGCGUAGAUAUGUGGAGGAACACCGAUGGCGAAGGCAGCCCCCUGGGCUAAGAUUGACGCUCA